rnacentral:rRNA from 1 species
AUUGAACGCUGGCGGCAUGCCUUACACAUGCAAGUCGAACGGCAGCGGGGGAGAAGCUUGCUUUUCCUGCCGGCGAGUGGCGAACGGGUGAGUAAUACAUCGGAACGUGCCCUGUAGUGGGGGAUAACUAGUCGAAAGAUUAGCUAAUACCGCAUACGACCUGAGGGUGAAAGUGGGGGACCGCAAGGCCUCAUGCUAUAGGAGCGGCCGAUGUCUGAUUAGCUAGUUGGUGGGGUAAAGGCCUACCAAGGCGACGAUCAGUAGCUGGUCUGAGAGGACGAUCAGCCACACUGGGACUGAGACACGGCCCAGACUCCUACGGGAGGCAGCAGUGGGGAAUUUUGGACAAUGGGCGAAAGCCUGAUCCAGCAAUGCCGCGUGUGUGAAGAAGGCCUUCGGGUUGUAAAGCUCUUUUGUCCGGAAAGAAAUGGCUCCGGUUAAUACCUGGGGUCGAUGACGGUACCGGAAGAAUAAGGACCAGCUAACUACGUGCCAGCCGCCGCAGUAA